rnacentral:rRNA from 1 species
AACGCUAGCUACAGGCUUAACACAUGCAAGUCGAGGGGCAGCAUUAGGUAGCAAUACUGAGAUGGCGACCGGCGCACGGGUGCGUAACGCGUAUCCAACCUUCCCGUUACUCAUGGAUAGCCUUCCGAAAGGGAGAUUAAUACAUGAUGGUGUUGAAAUUCCGCAUGUUAUUUCAACUAAAGAUUUAUCGGUAACGGAUGGGGAUGCGUGACAUUAGAUAGUAGGCGGGGUAACGGCCCACCUAGUCUACGAUGUCUAGGGGUUCUGAGAGGAAGGUCCCCCACACUGGAACUGAGACACGGUCCAGACUCCUACGGGAGGCAGCAGUGAGGAAUAUUGGUCAAUGGCCGGAAGGCUGAACCAGCCAAGUAGCGUGAAGGAUGAAGGUUCUAUGGAUUGUAAACUGCUUUUAUACAGGAAUAAAGUUAGCCACGUGUGGUUAUUUGUAGGUACUGUAUGAAUAAGGACCGGCUAAUUCCGUGCCAGCAGCCGCGGUAAUACGGAAGGUCCAGGCGUUAUCCGGAUUUAUUGGGUUUAAAGGGAGCGUAGGCCGUCUGUUAAGCGUGUUGUGAAAUGUAGAUGCUCAACAUCUGAAUUGCAGCGCGAACUGGCAGACUUGAGUGUGCGCAACGUAGGCGGAAUUCGUGGUGUAGCGGUGAAAUGCUUAGAUAUCACGAAGAACUCCGAUUG